AUUGAACGCUGGCGGCAGGCCUAACACAUGCAAGUCGAGCGAAUGAGGGAAGCUUGCUUCCCGAUUUAGCGGCGGACGGGUGAGUAAUGCCUAGGAAUCUGCCUAUUAGUGGGGGAUAACGUUCCGAAAGGAACGCUAAUACCGCAUACGUCCUACGGGAGAAAGUGGGGGAUCUUCGGACCUCACGCUAAUAGAUGAGCCUAGGUCGGAUUAGCUAGUUGGUGAGGUAACGGCUCACCAAGGCGACGAUCCGUAGCUGGUCUGAGAGGAUGAUCAGCCACACUGGAACUGAGACACGGUCCAGACUCCUACGGGAGGCAGCAGUGGGGAAUAUUGGACAAUGGGCGAAAGCCUGAUCCAGCCAUGCCGCGUGUGUGAAGAAGGUCUUCGGAUUGUAAAGCUCUUUUGUCCGGAAAGAAAAGCAUCCAGUUAAUACCUGGGUGUCCUGACGGUACCGGAAGAAUAAGCACCGGCUAACUUCGUGCCAGCCGCCGCAGUAACAC
rnacentral:rRNA from 1 species